GACGAACGCUGGCGGCGUGCUUAACACAUGCAAGUCGAACGAAGUGGCGAACGGGUGAGUAAUACGUGGUUAACCUGCCCUCCUUUUUGGGAUAAGGCUUGGAAACGGGGUCUAAUACCGAAUAAAGGGGGAUGGGCUCGCGGCCUAUCAGCUUGUUGGUGGGGUGAUGGCCUACCAAGGCGGUGACGGGUAGCCGGCCUGAGAGGGUGACCGGCGACAUUGGGACGGCGAUACGGCCCAGACGCGUAAGCGGGGGAGAAGUGGGGGCAAUUGCAGCAUGGGCGAAAGAGUGAUGCAGCGACGCCGCGGGGGGGAUGAAGGUUUUAAGGUUGUAAACCUCUGUCGCAAUCGAACGGGUAGGGAGAGAAGAAGCGCCGGCUAACUACGUGCCAGCCGCCGCGGUAAUAC
rnacentral:rRNA from 1 species